GACGAACGCUGGCGGCGUGCCUAAUACAUGCAAGUCGAGCGAUGAAGGAGAUACUUGUAUCUUUUGAAGAGCGGCGAACGGGUGAGUAACGCGUGGGGAAUCUGCCAAUGAGUGGGGGACAACAUUUGGAAACGAAUGCUAAUACCGCAUAAAAUCUCUUGAGACAUCUCAAGAGAUUGAAAGGAACAAUUGUUUCGCUCGUUGAUGAUCCCGCGUUGUAUUAGCUAGUUGGUGAGGUAAGGGCUCACCAAGGGGAUGAUACAUAGCCGACCUGAGAGGGUGAUCGGCCACAUUGGGACUGAGACACGGCCCAAACUCCUACGGGAGGCAGCAGUAGGGAAUCUUCGGCAAUGGACGAAAGUCUGACCGAGCAACGCCGCGUGAGUGAAGAAGGUUUUCGGAUCGUAAAGCUCUGUUGUUGUUAAAGAACGUUGAUGAGAGUGGAAAGUUCAUCAAGUGACGGUAAACAACCAGAAAGGGACGGCUAACUACGUGCCAGCCGCCGCCGUAA
rnacentral:rRNA from 1 species